GUGAGGAAUAUUGCGCAAUGGAGGCAACUCUGACGCAGCCAUGCCGCGUGCAGGAAGAAGGCGCUACGCGUUGUAAACUGCUUUUAACCGGGAAGAAACCCCAGGACGUGUCCUGGGUUGACGGUACCGGAGGAAUAAGCACCGGCUAACUUCGUGCCAGCAGCCGCGGUAAUACGAAGGGUGCAAGCGUUAUCCGGAUUCAUUGGGUUUAAAGGGUGCGUAGGCGGAGCGUUAAGUCAGUGGUGAAAUCCUGCAGCUUAACUGUAGACUUGCCAUUGAUACUGGCGCUCUUGAGUGCGCUUGAAGUGGGCGGAAUGUGCCGUGUAGCGGUGAAAUGCUUAGAUAUGGUACAGAACACCAAUUGCGAAGGCAGCUCACUAAGGCGAUACUGACGCUGAGGCACGAAAGCGUGGGGAUCGAACAGGAUUAGAAACCCUUGUAGUCC
rnacentral:rRNA from 1 species